AUUAUUUUGGCAGAUUAGUGCGUUAAAUUUAGAAUUUAAUUAUGUGAUAUUUAUUACAAAUAAU
rnacentral:tRNA from 1 species